GGGCCCGUAGCUCAAGGGUUAGAGCGCGCGACUCAUAAUCGCUUGGUUCUCGGUUCGAAUCCGAGCGGGCCCA
rnacentral:tRNA from 1 species